rnacentral:lncRNA from 1 species
AGCGAGGCUGAGGUGGUUCGGGCAUGUGCGGAGGAGAAGUCCUGAUGUCCCGGUGAGGAGUUGUGAGCGGCUGGCGAUAGUCGGCGUUCGGCGAGGAAGAGGGAGGCCUAAGAGAUAUUGGGGAGAGGUGAUUAGGCAUGACAUGACUAGAAUGCGGGUUUCAGAGGACAUGGCCCUUGAUACGAAAGUCUGGAGGUCUAGUAUCAGGGUUGCAGGAUAGGAGCCCCUGGGGUUUUUCGUACUCCUCACCCGGGGCUGGGUGAGGCUUGGCAGGG